AAAAUACAGGCUGGGUUUGUCCAUUACCCCCUCCCUUUGUCUUCUCGGCCACCAGACCUCUCCAAAGGCCCGGCGAUCGAGGGUUUUGGACGCGAGCGAAAAAUUGAGACAGAGAGAAAGGGCGAGUCAUGGGGAGGCGGCCAGGUGCUUCUCCAGCUUCUCUCGAUUUGGAUCUAAACAGUCGACUUUGCCGCUGUUCGGCAGCGGCUUUUUCCUGCGGGAACUCGAGAUCCACCGGCAUCGGAAACACGUGAGUACCCUCUUAUCCUCCUCCGGCGCUAGGGUUUGAUAACAGCUCGCAUGCACUUGUUUUUCUGGUCGCGAAAUUGAGGUUUCGAUCUGCCCUUUCCCCUUUCUGAUUCCAUAUCGAUGUUCUUCGGUUCCAUCUUUUUAGAUCUCUUUUCGAUCGAAGAUUUCAGAAGCUAAGAUUUUGUUCUAGUUCGUCGGGUGGAAUCCGCCGCCUCGAUUGAUUUGUUGUUCGAUCAGAAGUUGGAUAAAGGGGGAAAAACGGCGGGUCCCACUCGAAGAGAAAAGAAGGCAGCGGCGUGGAAAGUGACAGCUGGCGAAGAAGGGCGCAAAAAAUUGUUCGUAUAAGGCAGUUUCGACCGCCAGCCGGUACCCGUAGACUACCCGCAUGGGUCCCAGCGGGCCCUCGGAUUCAUAUUGAUUGGCUGGCAGCGUAGGCGGGAAGUACGUCGGUAAGCAUACCGAUGGAUAAAUUUACGAGACUGAUUCAUUCGAACGGUGAAGGAACCGCGGUAAGCUCACCGGGCGUAAGAGCGACUACCGCAAUGAACGCAACGAACAGUUGGCCAAAAUGAAAGAUAAUCAAAAAUUCAGUGGGCCUGGCAAGCCAUGGCCUGAAAAAGGACUUCUUUAAUUGGUGUUGCCAGAUUAAAUUCAAAAAUUCCACGAGAUUCCUACCGAUUCAAAGCAUCUCUCUCAAAAGAUUCAGGACGACAUUCGUCGGGUGCUGCUCAAAGUCCACGAUCCGUUAUACCAGAAGGUUCCAAGGAGUCUCCUCUCAAGUUUAGAACAAGAACGCAUCGUCGCCUGACUUUUUUCACGAGGUGAAAUUGACGCCUUCCCUAAUGUGAAGAAAGGUUUUCUUCACAUUAGGGAUGCAUUGAUUCCACCGUUGUAAUUUGUAAGCUAAGGAAAAACUAAAAAAAAAAAAAACACAGGCAAAAGUGUAAUGUUCUCCUGAGGGUUUUAUCAUGGACAAAAAUUAAAAGGUUAUUCUCCUUCAAUGUGAGGCUGAAAUAGUUAUAAGGCUGAUCAAAAUUGAAAGGUUAAUCUUAAGUU